AAUCAUGAAGUAAUUUAAUACAUUUAAUUUCGACUUAAAAAUAGACCAUAAAAGCAUGUCCAUGAUUU
rnacentral:tRNA from 1 species